rnacentral:lncRNA from 1 species
GCCUCAGGGAAGAGGAAGGAGGCCGCGGCUUCGCGUCCCGCCUCUCGCCUGGCUGGCCGUGGGGGGCCUGGACGCAGUGGCCUCCCGAAUCUCCCAGGACCCUAAUAUCGCCCGAGGAUGCUGGGAGGAACGCUGAGCCGACCUCUCCGUUAGGCUGAAGAUUGCACAAACCAUGCUAAUGGCCAGCAUGGAUGGAGGGAGCGUGUGAGAUGUGUGGGGCAGCGUGCUGCAUCUCAGCCAACUCCAGGAGAUGGAACGAAGUCUGUUUGUGGAAACACCCUUCCCCUCUGUUUACUUGGACCUGAUUUUGAAAGUAACAAGUCACUUUAUUUGGGCUGGAGGAAAAAGCACUAAACCAGAUGUUGAGGUGACCGGGAUUCCUGGAAGACAUUCUUCUCUCCAACGAGACACAUGAUGCAUGAAGUAGGAGCCCCUGGCAAGGAGCCCAGGCUGCCAUGGCCUCGCUCGCUCCUGCUUCCCGGCAUGGCCCCGAGGCUAGCUGCCUCUGUACUGCCUGAGCAUCGUCCCCUGGCGUGUCACCAGACUACCCACUACCUGUGCUUGCACCUGCAGGUGGGCAGUUCAGUCGUUGCAGGCUGAAGCUCCCUGUCACAGGAGUCCAUCAGCACUGGAGUUUACCAAAUGGCCCAGUCCAGGAAGCAUGCUCAUGGCAAUACCCGGAGUCUCCACUGCAAGACCAGAGUGACGGAGGCAGCAGAGCUCCUCAGCAGGCCAGGAGUCUCCAGAGGCACUGCCGAAUGUCUAAGAAGCAACCUCAUUGUAUUCCCAAGACCUGGGAAUCCAGGUCUCGCAGAUACGAUGAUACAAUCUAUAGCCAGGACAUCUCUUCAUGUGUAGUUUUCAAUGAAUACUAGGAUAAGCAACUAUCCCAGUCUUCCCAGGAUUGAGGGGCUUCUCCAGAUGCUGCACUUCUGGUGCUAAAAAUGAGAAACUGAAAUGAAUUAGUCACCCAAGGAAUGCUGACCCUGUGCUAUAUGAUCACAUUUACUCUUUAAAGCAAUGCUUUGAGGCCAAGCUAUAAAUAAAGGGUGGACUGACCUUGUCAACUGUUAAAUUGGAGCCGUGGUGCGUUGCCUAGAACAUUGCGGAUGACCCCGAGCAGCACAGCAGAUCAACGGCUGAGAAAGAGCUCAUUCAGCUCAUCUAACUAGGAUGCUGUCCUGCCAGAGCCCUGGGGGUUCUCGUCUCCUGGGGCAAAAGCAGCAUGCAACCCUUAUGAACCCAUCUUGGAAGGCAUUCGGGGAGCCCAAGACAAGACCAUUGGGAGCCUCAGGGUCACUUGUGGGGGUCUCUGUGCUGGACGGCUGUACCUCUCAUGAAAUGGACAACUGACCAUAAGAAGGAGGUAAGUUACGCAUGGACGGGAAAAUAAGAAGCUCCUACUUAGGGCUGUGAUAUGUGCGGUAACCAUUUAACGUUAAUAGCAUCCAUGUGAGACAGGUGCUAGUACUGCCCCAUUUCAUAUUGGCGGACAUUGAGGCACACAGACUGUAUGACUUGCCCAAGGCUGCCCACCUGGUUAGGGGAGCUCCAGGAUUCCAAUCCAGUCCGAACUCAACACGAGGGGUGGCACCUACAGGCUGGGGUCAAUCUGGAAGACUGCCUGUUGUAUGGCCUGGCAACUAAAAAUUGUUUUUUACAUUUUUAAAUGGUUGACAAAAUUAAAAUAAGAGAAUAUUUCAUGACAUCAUCAAAUUACACGAAAUGCAAAUUUCAGCAUCUACAAAUACAGUUUGAUUGGGACACAGCCACCCUCAUCCGUUUGCAGGCUAUCCCUGGCUGCUUACAGGGUCCACAUAGUCCAUAAAGCCUGAGAUAUUUACUAUCUGGCCUUUUACAGAAAAAGUCCCCAAACACUAAUCUGAAAUGUUUGCAUCAGAACCCCUUGUGGGGCUUGUUAGAAUGCAGCUCCCUGGUCCCACACCCAGUCUCUGAUUCAGUAAGUCUGGAGCAGGGCCUGGGAAUUUACAUUUCAAAAUAAUUUCCCAGGUGAUGCUCAUACUGGUCCACAGACCACUUUGAGAGCCACUACCCUAAACCCCAGUGCUCUACUGCUUGUUGUCAGGAUGGCUGGGUCAGGUGAGAAAGAAGCCUAGACAUCCCUAGAGCCACCUGCUGUGCAGCCACCUUUUGAGAAAGUGUCCCCAGUGAUCUUUUCCCAGGUUAGCCUUUGUGGCUUGGGCAUCCAGCCUUUCAGAGAUAUGAAACCACACACGUCUUCAGAGUGAACAGCUGCUCACCCCGAUGUGCUCAAGGGGUGCAGGAUGUGGACACAUCCUACUGAAUGAGCCAGACAACGUAACUGGAUCUGUCCAGAACACCACGAUGGGUGACAUUGCCAUCUGCAGCAGUGCUGUACUUCCUCCCGCCAAUUUGUAAAGUGCAGACAGGAUGCUGGAUCAACUGGCUGCUGCUGAGGCCAGUGACCUCUAGGGCGUAUUCCCACGUUCCUUUGCAGUAGCUGCUCACCUUUGUAAGCAUGUGAGUUAUUCGUGCUGUCUGUUGUGAUCCUAAGGAAUCCAAUGGUCAGGACCAGAACUUCUGAAGUACAGCCCAGCAUUGCCGUCUGGCAUCCCCAGAAAGCAGAUUUUGAGAUUGGCAUGAUGGCCGUUAAGCAGGGCGUUCUCUCUGGAGCAAUGUCUAGCCGGGGUCGGAGUGGGGAGAGAGAGAGGGGGGCUGCUGAGAAUAUCACAGAGAGAUGGCAGCCUUUCUGCAGCAUAGGCCUAAGUGCACACUCACCUGGCUAUCACUGAGAGGACUCUCUGUUCAACAGGGCCACUCAGGGCUUCCCCUGCAUGGAGAUCUGAGUGUCCAGGGAGGGGACGUGGUGAGCAUUUCUCUGGUCAAAGUGUGCAAAGCAAAAUCUGCCCCAUUCCUGCCAAAGUGGUUGACAUGGAGGAAAGGGGAGUGCCAGUUCUGUAGGCUGAGGUGGUGGCUGUUAGAACUGCUCCUAGGCUAGUUGGUGUUCUGGAAGGUUCCCCUCUAUGUGAGAUGAAAGAGCAUAUCUUUAAGAGCUGCAACUUUGAAGCUCUAAUAUAGAAUGCUUUUGGUGGCAAGCAUUACUUCGGAAAGGGCUUGAAGACCCCUGAAGAUCCUUGGUGGCCUAGGCAGUUCCUUUAUUGCCAGGGCUGUGCAGGACUAAGCUUCAACAGCGCCACCAUGUGACAAGAAGCAAUUGCAGUGGUGCAUUGAGGGUUUUCUUUUGCACUGAGAACUCAAGUCCCACUUUCACCCUUGGACCUGGUAAAUCUUUGGGGUUCAUGGACAAUUCUGAGGAGGAGAUACUUAAGAGAGUGAUGUUAGAAUUUGAUGUUUUGGUUUAUUGUAUCAGAAAAUAAAAGAAAUUGGAUUUAUAGCUCAGUUUGUGGUUCAUAUCAAUUUAAAUAGCUUUGAAAUGCUGAUAGGACCAUCACGGUUUUUUGGUUGCUGAAAUCCCAUAACUAAAGCAAUGCCUCAAUAAGCUUUUAAUCCACAGCCCCCAUGCCCAGGUCUAUAACAAAGUUUUUAUAUGCCUAUGGGGAAAAACAAUUAUGAGGCAAACAUUUAUAAAGUUAAAUUUAUUACGUUUCUACUCCUAUUUUUUAUUCUGCUGGUGUAUUGUUAUAUAUUUUCCUACAUAUUUAAACAUUUUCUUCCUCUUAUAAAAUGUUAGUGAUUUUAAAUGAUGGUGUGUCCGGAAUUGGUUCCUUCUGGUGGGUUCAGUCUUGCUGACUUCAAGAAUGAAGCCACAGAUGCUCACAGUGAGUGUUACAGCUCUUAAAGAUGGUGUGUCCAAAGUUUGUUCCCUCAGAUGUUCAGAUGUCUCCAGAGUUUCUUCCUUCUGGUGGGUUCGUGGUCUUGCUGACUUCAGGAGUGAAGCCGCAGACCUUUGCAGUGAGUGUUACAGCUCUUAAAGGUGGUGCGUCCAGAGUUGUUUCUUCCUCCCAGUGGGAUUAUGGUCUCGUGCAGACCUUGCAUUGAGUGUUACAGCUCUUAAAGGGGGCACGGACCUGACCAUCCUGGCUAAAAUACAGUGAAACCCCAUCUCCACUAAAAUUACAAAUAUUAGCCCGGAGUGGUGGCAGGUGCCCAUAGUCCCAGCUACUCCGGAGGCUGAGACAGGAGAAUAGUGUGAACCCGGGACGCGGAGCUUGUAGUGAACAGAGAUUGCGUCACUGCACUCCAGCCUGGGCGACAGAGCGAGACUCCAUCUCAAAAAACAAGAACAAAAAAACAAAAAAAAGGCAGCGCAGACCCAGAGUAAGCAACAGCAAGAUUUAUUGCCAAGAGCCAAACAACAAACCUCCCACAGCGUGGAAGCAGACCCAAGUGGGUUGACACUGCUGGCUCAGGUGGUCUGCUUUUAGUCCCUUAUUUGGCCUCACCAACAUCCUGCUGAUUGGUCCAUUUUACAGAGAGCUGAUUGGUCCAUUUUACAGAGUGCUGAUUGGUCCAUUUUGACAGAGUGCUGAUUGGUGCAUUUAUAAACCCUUAGCUAGACACAUAGCGCUGAUUGGUGCAUUUACAAUCCUUUAGCUAGACAGAAAAGUUCUCCAAGUACCCUACCCGAUUAGCUAGACACAGAGCCCUGAUUGGUGCGUUUACAAACCUUUAGUUAGACACAGAGUGCUGAUUGGUGCGUUUACGAUCCUUUAGCUAGACAGAAAAGUUUUCCAAGUCCCCACCAGACCCAGAAGCCCAGCCAGCUUCACCUCUCAAUGGGAUUUUAAAAAAUGUUUUUACUUGGCAAAUAAAGACUUAGCAACCUAAUACCUACCUCUCAAAAUAUUUGUAAAUCAUACUGAUCUAUAAAAUCUAUUAAGUAUGAGAUUUGUUGAUAUAAUGACUCAUAAAAGCAAUGUAAUCCAAAUUAAAAUUUGUAAAGCACUGCAUAAUUUACAUAGUAUUUCUGUCUCGAGUAUCUUUAAACCAUUAAGUUAAGAGUGUGACUUUGGACGGGUGUGGUGGCUCACGCCGGUAAUCCCAACACUUUGGGAGGCCAAGGCAGGCAGAUCACCUGAGGUCGAGAGUUCGAGAUCAGCCUGGCCAAAAUAUCGAAACCCCAUCUCUACUAAAAAUACAAAAAUUAGCUGGACGUGGUGGCAUGCCCUGUAGUCCCAGCUGCUCAGGAGGCUGAGACAGGAGAAUCGCUUGAACCCAGAGGCGGAGGUUGCAGUGAGCCAAGAUCGUGCCACUGCACUCCAGCCUUGGCGACAGAGUGAGACUCCAUCUCCAACAAAAAAAUGAAAGAAAGAAAAUCUCCUGUAGUCACUUCUAGUCACCACAACAGUUUGAUUUUAAUAAUUAGAAGACCUACUUCUAUGCAGAAAUAUGAACUCCAAACCUCUGGAUAUGGGGACAGAAAUUGCCGUGGCACUCUAAAAACUUUGUCCAAAGAAAUGCUGUCUUCCAUUUUCUUUGCCGUUAACCAUUUUAUAUCCUUGAGAUGGUGUUGAGUUGAUCUGCAAAGCCGGCCUUGGCCACCUGCCCUGAUAGUCUUGCCCAAAUGCUCCAGCACCUUGCCCUGGAACGUGGCCAAAUUGGCCACCUGCUGUUUUGUUCGUCCCUCUGAUUUCUGUCUCGGUUGCUCUCUUUUGGAGUUCUGCAGUUGUGUGCGUGCUUUUUCUUGUUCUGGGUCAGUUUUUUUCUCAUCUGUCAAACCAGGACACAUAAUUUUACAAGGUCACACAGUGAGGAAAGCCUUGCUGAAUCUUACUGCUACGAUUCACGGCAUUGCAGAGGCCUUGCUUUUAGAGCUGCAACAGAUCUCAGAAGUUUUAGGCUAAUUCCUUCGUUUUACAGACGACUAAAAUGAAAUCCAGGGAGUUUAAGUGGCAUGACGAGAGCUAGAGGAUCCCUUCUCAAGUAACUAUGGAACAAAGCCUUCGAAACGCAUACGUUGGUACAGAGUUAGGCUGAGAGGGGCCUGAGCUUACACAAUGUGGGUGUCCUCUUUCAGAAAGAAGAAAUACAAAAUUAAGUACACAAUUGUUAUCAUUUAGAAAGAUAAAAGAAAUUACCGUGAAUUACACACUUUCAAAACCUGUGAAAUACCACAAACAGCAUAAAAUCCAAGAAAAUAAUAUCUUUAUUACUUAAUUGUCCAACCAAUCUCUGUAAUUCCUGUUUUCUUAUAUUUUCUGCUGUAUAAUGUUUGAUGGCCUUUUUUCUGACUACAGUUUUGUAAUGUCAUUUCUAUAGAGAUAAUAGUGAGAAAAUUCAGUCUUUAGCACAAUCAAUCACAAUUUGGUUCUUAUUGAUAAGUUGAAAAUCUUUCUUUCAGUUUUACAACUCAUUAUUGGUAAGUCAUGUAAGUGUUAGUGUUAUUAUCAAGUUGUGGAUAACUUCUGUCAACUUUUUCUCAUAUGUAAGCUGUAAGAUUUGGAAAACCUUUUGACAGACUGGCUUCUGACUCUUUUUCAAACUUUCAUUCCCUUCCCUCCCGACGUACUUCCUGUGCUGUGGAGGAUGUUUGGCCUGGGAGAUGACCUGUGAUUCUGCACUUUGGGUCACACGCUGGGUGCAUCAGUAGAAUGGGCUUUCUGAGCAUUCCCGGAAGCUAUGCCCACACCAGGAUGGCAGCAAUGAUUUUACUGUACCUGGAAGUAAUGAUGAGCUGUGUAAAUGUAACCCAAACUAAGUGUAUCCCAAUCCUCCACUUGCUUUGACUUGGAGCACUGAAGGGCUGUGUCCUAGGUGCACAUACACACACACUCAUGCACAUAUACACAUAGAGCCUUUUGCAGUUCCAAGCAUGUCCUUUAGCCCCAUGAGGCAGUCAGUGGCUUCACCCCACCUCUUUGCUUCUCCCUCGGGAACAUGCAAAUUCCUCCAAUGAAAAAGGGACCUCCAGUGCUGAGCUCAAUUCUCCCUUCUGGAAGUUGGCUCGGUAAUUCUUUACAAUCUUGUUAGCACCUGAGCUUCAAAUUAUUUCUAUGAGAAAUUUUGGGUUACAGAAUCUAGCAUACAAUGAAAAAGUAACCACACUUCUAGGAGAUGCGACACUGUGUACAAACACCAGCUGAAACAGCUAACAAUGGCAACAGAGCCACAAAGACUCCAGAGAGUGGAGGUACAAAUUUAAUAGAAAUAGAAGAAGAAAAUAGAAAGUUUAAUAGAUAUACAGACUUUUAUAUAAUUUUUUUACUAUGUUCAAGGAGAUGAAAGACAAUAGAAUUUUAGCAGACAUGAGAGGUUGUAGUGUAUGCUACAAAAACCAAAGGCAAAUUGGAAAACCAAAAAAUUCAGUAAUCAAAGUUAAGAACUCAUUGGCUGUCUUUGACAGAUGAGUCAUUAAGGAUAAUCAGAAAGCAGGUUAGGAGAAAACAGAAUAAAACAUAAUAAGGACAAAUAAUGGAAAACUACAGAAGACUGGGUCAGAGACAGAGGAUAGAGUAAUAAGGCUUAACAUCAGCAAGAGGAGAGAAUAUGCAAGAGAAAUUUUAGAAGUGUAAGGACAUAGGAAAAAACAAACUCAGUUUCUCCUGCUAUACUCUCACAACACUCACACUUCUAUAACCCCAGAUGUGUGGAGUUUUUCCCCACAUACCAAGCAGUUCUGCAGAUGAUUCUCCAGUGGACACCAGCUGGGUGUCUUCUAAUUCGAUUCAGCUCUGACACUGUCUAGCUGGAGAUUGUGUCAGAUCUCACAGGUUGAAGGCUCAUUCCCACAAGUCUAUCCCUCAGUUCGGAUGCCAAUUGCAGUGCAGGUGGUGACCUGUGCUUCUGACCAACCAGCUACAAACCAGGGUUCCACUAACCCCCUCCUUGGGUUUAUUUAAUUUGCUAAAGUGGCUCACAGAGCUCAGGGAAAUUCUUACAUUUACACAUUUAUUAUGAGGAUAAAUUACAAAGGAUACAGAUGAACAUCCAGAUGGAAGAGAUACAUAAGGCAAGGAAUGGGAAAAGGGGCACAGGGCUUCCAUGCUCUCUCUGGAUAUACCACCCUGCAGGAGCUUGUACGUGUUCUGCUAUCUGGAAGACCCAGGGCUCAGUCCUUUUGGAUUUUUAUGGAAAUUUCAUUAAGUAGGCAUGAUUGAUUAUAUCAUUGGCUGUUGGUGAUCCACUCAAUAUUCAGCCCUUUUAUCCUCCCUGGAAGUGAGAGAGGUGGUUGAGGUGUGGGGGAGUAGGAGGUGGGCUGAAAGUUUCAACCUUCCCUCUUGGGAGGGUUGAAAACAGCAAACAGCCUCCCACCUGAGACUAUCGAGGGGCUCCAGUCAUCUCAUUAGCAUACAAGAGCCACUCAUCACUCCAGAGAUCCCGAGGAUUUUGGGAGCUAUGAAUCAAGAAACCAGAAGACCAUAUACAUUUCACAACAUCACAGGAAGAGGCAUGAUUAAGAACUUACCAAACUAAUUACAAAUGUAAAAAAUCUGCAACAUAACUUAAAUGUCACAAAAUCUAAAAAAAAAAAUUAUUAUCAAUUAACUUUCUGAUGCAUCUCUAAAACACUUUUUCUUACCUAUUUUGGUUGUACCCUCUUUGAUCAUCUCCUCAAAAUGCAACAGUUUUGCAGUACCAUUUUCUAUAGAGAGAAGAGAAAGAUAAUUCAGACCUUUCUCUAGUGUGUUUGAUUAAAAUUUAUUAUUGAAGAUUUAGAGAAUUUUUUUACUUUCCCUUUUCAAUUUAAUAUUGGUCACAUUAUGUAAAGUUCAAUAUUGUCUAGAUUUCAGGAAACAUUCAUUAUAUAUGAACUGUAAGAUUUGAGAAAUAAAAAUAAAAUUCUAAGCCCCCACCCAGCUGAACGGAUCCCCUCUUGGCCAAGGGGACCCUGAAGAAACCUUAAAAACUGAGUUCCUGGCCAUGACAGGAGGGAAGGGCAGCCGGCCUUGUUACACCGCCUCCCUUGCUGACUGCCACUGGCUUUCUCUUUAAGGGUUACACAGAAACCAGCCCUUUGGAAAGACUGGCUCUACCUAUGAUACCAACGAGCCCUCAUGCUGCCCCUCCCUUACAGUUUUGACACAGGACUGACCAGCAUUCCUUCCAGAUGAGAGACCGCUGGCCACAGAGUGGCUUUGGCCAGUCUACGGACACUGCACACAGAGGGCCUCCAUGUCCUCUGCUUUACCUUUUGAUGUUUAGAGCCUACUUGUAAUACAUUUAAAUGUUAAGUUGCCUCUCCAAAGUGAGCAGGGAAGCACGUUGCAUGCCUGUUAGCUACUACACAUGCCCUUGCCUCCCUUUUGUGAGUUUCCAUCGCUCCUCCUAUGACCUGCUGAACAUGUAUACUUAGCCAACCUGCUCAGCGUACAUUCCAGUUCCCUUGACCCCCUCUCCUGAAGUACUUGUUAUGGAGGUUACACUUCCCAGCCUGCAAGAUGGCCAGCCUGCAGGCUGCGAUGCUUUAUGAGAAAUAAAGCUCUUUUACCAAAUUUAUGAACCUCAUUAUUCUUCAGCUGCAGAUUUCAGUUUUUCAUGUUUUCAUUUCAGUUUUUCAUGUACAGUGACUAAACAUAUUCAUUGAAUUGAUGACCUGCAUUAGCUAGUUUGGUUAAUGAUUUCCUAUAACAAACUUUUGUGAAGUUUAUGGUAUUUUCAUUGAUGUAACUAAUUUGUCUCAAAUCCACAAGACAUUUAAAUCUUACCCUUAAUACGUUCAUGAGAUUCUUGCAUCUUCAUUGAUUAGAUUUUCCAAUAAUACAAUGGCCUGUUCAUGAUUUUGACUCAGAAUGUAUUUGUUCUUUUUGAUGGAUUACUUUUUGAAUUAUCUGGACACUUUUUGGUUAAAAUUGGUCAUCUAUAUCAGAAUAAUUUCUAUUAAUUCCAUCACAUAGCUUCUUGACAUUUGUUCAUAUUCCAUUGAAUUUAAUGUGAAUUUUUCUCUCAGGUCCUUAAUAAAUUUAAGCUUGACAAAAGACAACACUUCAAAAUACAUUCAAGUCAAGGGUUCAUUUAUUUUAUUAAAAUGUUUUUUCUUUCUUAAUUGCUAAAAAAAUGUGUUCCAAUUUUAUCAAAUAUGCCAUUCCCAUCAAAAAAGAAAGAAAGCAUGGUGAACUUCAUUUUGAGAAGAUGUUGCUGGCCCUGUGCAGAUCACUUUACAUCACUGAUGACUGGAGAAAUUUGUCUUCCCUCUGCUACACACAGCUGGGUGCUGUAGGAUGCAUUCUUAUCGCUGGUCCUGAAUCAUCAGUUCUUCUGCUUGGUGAGUAGACACAGUGUGCAACAGGGACAUUCCUAGAAGCCAUCCCUACAUUAGGAUAAUUAGCAAUCGUUUAACAGUAAGAAGAGCGCCUGGAAGUCACAUAAAUUUAUUCCAUUAAAUCCAAAUUAAUUAUGUCCCCAACUCUACUGCCCCUAACUGGAACCCAGUUGGCCUGCGGGCACCACAGCUCACCCUGCAGAGGAGAAAUUGAUGAACGGGACAUGAGCAUGGAAAAAGAUCCGAAUCCGUUGCUCUUAAAGUAGCUUACUUUUGCAAAUUGUAUUACAUAUGAGCACAUGGGCACAGUGUUAGAGGCCCCCUCAAGAAAUACAUGCUCACAUGGACACUGCCUGCGGUGCUCACCCAGGCCCUGGAAGGGGAUCGUGCAAUGAAGGGCACUGCAGCAUCAGCUUUGUUUUAUAGUAAAUCUACUUUGGACACCUAUUAAUUCAGUUAUUUGGUCGUUUCUGUUAAUUCUUAAAAAUCCUACCACGCGCCAAGCACUGGGGGAUAUCAAGGGUAGGAGAACACUGUGUGUGAGUGAGCCUAGUUCUCUUCUCCCUCCCCCUCCUUCUCAGAUGCUCUUUUCCAAUUUUACAAAAGAAAGACAGGCCUCUUCCUCACAUUAGGGCACAUUGCUCCAGGAGGUAAAAGUGCUUGGGGCAACAAGGAAACAAUUCAAAACAUUGGUGUUGAGAAAGCAAAUGAGGAACCAGCUUAUUUUUAAUACUUUGCCUUCAGUAAAAUUAAAGGAAGAUUUAAUGAGAUUGGCAGUUAAUAGAGCAUUAAAAAUAACUUUGAUUAUCAGUCAUAAUAUGACUUCUGGCAUAUUACUCAGAAGUUCAAAGAAUUGAGUGACAUUGCACCAACAAAUCCUUCACUUACCAUCUACCUUUUUAGGUGAACAGAGUUUCUGUAUAAAACAGAAAUUAGUAAAAGAUUCAUUGCUGAGUUCUUUCUUAUUCUAACAAUAUGUAGUGAUUGUCCAAGGAUGUGUAAGUGCAAUUAAGAAUCACACACAUAUACUGAAACAUUUUUGAAAAGUUUGAAAUGGGCAAAAAGAUUACUGGGUGUCCGGUGCAGCACACCCUUCCAGGUUAUCUCUGACUUUCAUCAUCUAUGAGCUAUUUUAGAACACUGUACGUUGAAAAAGUUGCAUAGUAAUACAAAUAAUUCUUGACCAAAGAAAUGCUGAAUUAGUUCCAGUGGUGAUAACAUUAAUUAUUGCCCCUGUAGAUGUUGACACAUUUUGCAUCUAUUUGUAAGUUCAUUUCAACAUUCCUAAUUGCCCCUGCACGCCCCCCAACCCCAGCGCGCGCGAGCGUGUGUGUGUUUUGUGUGUGUGUUGCGCGUGUGUGUUUGUGUGUGUGUUGUGCGCAUGUGUGUGUUGUGUGUGUGCGUGUGUGUGUGUUGUGCGUGUGUGUGUUGUGUGUGUGUUGUGUGUGCGUGUGUGUGUGUGCUGUGUGUGUUGUGUGUUGUGUGUGGUGUGUGUUGUGUGUGUGUUGUAUGUGUGUGUUGUAUGUGUGUGUUGUGUGUGUAUGCGUGUGUGUUCCUGUGUGUGCGUGUGUGUGUGUUUAAUUCUAUUUUGAACUGUAGUUGAUAUCUUACUGAUGCCCUCCUUGGUUAAUGAUGUAAACAAAAUCUUUGAUAUGUUCAUUUUAUGAAAGUCAUGAGGAUUUUACCUUUUAAAAAUUCACACACACACACACACACACACACACACACACGACAGAAAACAAACUUGACCUGUGUGCUUUCUACUUUUGAAGUGUAUUGAGAUAUAAUUUUUCCCUAAUAAAUGGCCAGUUUGGAGGUAUGCUUUUUGCACUGUAACAUGG